rnacentral:rRNA from 1 species
AGUGAACGCUGGCGGUAGGCCUAACACAUGCAAGUUGAACGGCAGCACAGAGGAGCUUGCUCCUUGGGUGGCGAGUGGCGGACGGGUGAGGAAUACAUCGGAAUCUACUCUGUCGUGGGGGAUAACGUAGGGAAACUUAUGCUAAUACCGCAUACGACCUACGGGUGAAAGCAGGGGACCUUCGGGCCUUGCGCGAUUGAAUGAGCCGAUGUCGGAUUAGCUAGUGGGCGGGGUAAAGGCCCACCAAGGCGACGAUCCGUAGCUGGUCUGAGAGGAUUAUCAGCCACACUGGAACUGAGACACGGUCCAGACUCCUACGGGAGGCAGCAGUGGGGAAUAUUGGACAAUGGGCGCAAGCCUGAUCCAGCCAUACCGCGUGGGUGAAGAAGGCCUUCGGGUUGUAAAGCCCUUUUGUUGGGAAAGAAAUCCAGCUGGCUAAUACCCGGUUGGGAUGACGGUACCCAAAGAAUAAGCACCGGCUAACUUCGUGCCAGCAGCCGCCGUAA